rnacentral:rRNA from 1 species
GAUGAACGCUGGCGGCGUGCCUAAUACAUGCAAGUCGAGCGAACAGACGAGGAGCUUGCUCCUCUGACGUUAGCGGCGGACGGGUGAGUAACACGUGGAUAACCUACCUAUAAGACUGGGAUAACUUCGGGAAACCGGAGCUAAUACCGGAUAAUAUAUUGAACCGCAUGGUUCAAUAGUGAAAGACGGUUUUGCUGUCACUUAUAGAUGGAUCCGGGCCUCAUUAGCUAGUUGGGAAGGUAACGGCUUACCAAGGCAACGAUGAGUAGCCGACCUGAGAGGGUGACCGGCCACUCUGGAACUGAGACACGGUCCAAAUUCCUAGGGGGGGCAGCGUAAGGGAAUCUUCCGCAAUGGGCGAAAGCCUGACGGGGCAACGCCGCGUGGUUGAUGAAGUUCUUCGGAUCUUAAACCUCUGUUAUUAGGGAAGAACAAAUGUGUAAGUAACUAUGCACGUCUUGACGGUACCUAAUCAGAAAGCCACGGCUAACUACGUG